GUGUCCUCGUCAAAUUAAUAGCAUUGAUUGUGGAUAUUUUGUGAUGCGAUUUAUGAAAGAGGUCAUCAUGGAAAAUGAAAUUAUGAUCCCCGUAAAUUACUUUCCUGACCACUAAUGUCGUACCUACUCUAACGAUAAGUUAACUGAGGUCAAGGAGGAUUGGGCUACCUAUAUGGUGGAUGAUGUGUUCGGAAAACAAGAAGCAAUUAUUUUGCCUAGCUAACAAAGUGAUUCGAUGUCUGGGUUCGGAAGUGCUUUGGUUCGCGAAGUGGUUACUACUUGAUGUUGUUUUGUUGUCAUUUCUGGAUUUUUUAGAUGUUUUUUCUUUAGUGUAGAAUAUGCUGUACUUUUUGUUUGGAAUUUAGUUUGGUGCACUUGGACCAAAUUAAUAACUUGUGGCAAAAGUUUUAGCUUAAUUUCAUUGAGAUCAAUGUUGAA